rnacentral:rRNA from 1 species
UACGGGGGGGGCAAGCGUUGUUCGGAAUUACUGGGCGUAAAGGGCUCGUAGGUGGCCAACUAAGUCAGACGUGAAAUCCCCUCGGCUUAACCGGGGAACUGCGUCUGAUACUGGAUGGCUUGAGUUCGGGAGAGGGAUGCGGAAUUCCAGGUGUAGCGGUGAAAUGCGUAGAUAUCUGGAGGAACACCGGUGGCGAAGGCGGCAUCCUGGACCGACACUGACACUGAGGAGCGAAAGCCAGGGGAGCAAACGGG